rnacentral:rRNA from 1 species
CCUACGGGCGGCAGCAGUGGGGAAUAUUGCGCAAUGGGCGAAAGCCUGACGCAGCGACGCCGCGUGAGGGAUGAAGGUCUUCGGAUCGUAAACCUCUGUCAGCAGGGAAGAACGGUCACUGUGCUAAUCAGCAGUGAAUUGACGGUACCUGCAAAGGAAGGCCCGGCUAACUCCGGGCUAGCAGCCGCGGUAAUACGGAGGGUGGGAGCGUUAAUCGGAAUUACUGGGCGUAAAGCGCUCGUAGGCGGUACGUCAAGUCAAGGGUGAAAUCCCCGGGCUCAACGUGGGAACUGCCUUUGAAACUGGCAAACUAGAGUGUGUGAGAGGAUAGUGGAAUGCCAGGUGUAGCAGUGAAAUCCGUAGAUAUCUGGAGGAACAUCAGUGGCGAAGGCGACUAUCUGGCACAUAACUGACGCUGAGGAGCGAAAGCGUGGGUAGCAAACAGGAUUAGAUACCCUUGUAGUC